rnacentral:tRNA from 1 species
GCCUGGCUGGCUCAGUUGGUAGAGCACAUGACUCCUGGUCCUGGGGUUGUGCGUUUAAGCCCCACGCUGGGUG